UCUGAAAUAUAAGCCAAUGACAUGAGUUUUUAGUUCUCAUUAGUUUCAGUGUUUGUUUCACUUAAGAUUCGCGAAUUUAUACAAAAAAGAUUUAUCAGGUAAUCAGUCAACAUUUUAGAUAACAAAGUUUGUAUAAAAAAUGUACCUAUAAUGCAUUUGUGUACAAUGAAUAUCAUUCUUGUACAAGUACACUUAUGGCUAGAGUCCACGAGUUGGAAUGAGACAUCAGACGUCGCUAUCUUAUUCUAUCUCAUGGACUCUUAUCACUAGCGAAAAGAUUCCAUCAAUGGAUUCGUUUGCAACUUGUCUAUGGGGCCUGAUCCGAUACUGGGCUACGUUUAUCGUUUUGUGUAACGCAGAUAGAAAAGGAAUGCUUUGCAGAUUGAAAUCUGUUCAAGGAUAAGAAAUUUCCCUUUAUUUACUAAGUCCAACAGCUUCAUCGGUUAGGAACUGGCUCACCCGGAUGUCUAAAUCCUUUCGUACUAAUGGUGCUGUAGCCGUGGGCAGCGCAGUAGUUUCUGGUGGUGCCAGUUGUCGUUUUGGAGCACGGAAUCGACGAGCACGUGUCAGUUGCCAGGAUGCUCCGGUGUUUCGUAAUCCUCCAAGAGUUACGCCCAUAUCUUCGUCUACAGCGGCUAAUGCAGGUGAUGGAUGCUCGCAACCGUGCUGGUGCUAUUACUGAUGAAGAAACUGAUGAAGAAUUUUUCUUUAAGCCUGUAAAAAAAAUCAGAUGUUUAUCGGGGCAGGAGCAGAGGUGGUGGUGAAGGCAAGGAUCGAGGGUAUAUCCAUGUCGCGCCGGGUCGAUAUCCUGGAGACGCGGGAACGAGAUAUACUUCGCUCUGUCAUGCGUAUACUCAGA